rnacentral:rRNA from 1 species
AUGCCCUCCGGCUCCCGCCAUGGCCACCGCACCAAAGCAAGCCGCCGCCGCCAUCCCGUCCGCCCCUUGACCCUGAAAAAGAAGAAUCCCAAGAAGGUGCACACGGCGAAGCAGCUCACCCGAGAAAUGACGAAGAGGGCUGGCUGUAGGACCAAUGCUGCGGAGAGGAAAGCCGCUGCCCAGGCCGUCGUCGACGACGCCAGGGCCGCCGGUGAGGAUAACGAGACCCUGGUCACCAAGGCCACGCAGGCGACGAUGCAGCACGCCCUCCUCAUGCUAGUGUUUAGCCGACCCCUACCGACCAUUAUUACCGCCACCGCCAUGGCCUUCGAGGCCCAACAAGGGAACAAGCCAUUCACCCUCACCCAUUGUUGGACGCUCAUCAAAGAUUGCCUAAAGAGCAAUAUGCCGCCCUAA